AUUGAACGCUGGCGGCAGGCCUAACACAUGCAAGUCGAGCGGAUGAAGGGAGCUUGCUCCUGGAUUCAGCGGCGGACGGGUGAGUAAUGCCUAGGAAUCUGCCUGGUAGUGGGGGAUAACGUCCGGAAACGGGCGCUAAUACCGCAUACGUCCUGAGGGAGAAAGUGGGGGAUCUUCGGACCUCACGCUAUCAGAUGAGCCUAGGUCGGAUUAGCUAGUUGGUGGGGUAAAGGCCUACCAAGGCGACGAUCCGUAACUGGUCUGAGAGGAUGAUCAGUCACACGGGAAAUGAGACACGGCCAAGACUCCUCGGGGGGGCAGCAGGGGGGAAUAUUGGAAAAGGGGCGAAGGCCUGAACCCGCCAUGCCGCGGGUGUGAAGAAGGUCUUCGGAUUGUAAAGCACUUUAAGUUGGGAGGAAGGGAAGUAAGUUAAUACCUGGCUGUUUUGACGUUACCAACAAAAUAAGCACCGGGUAACUUCG
rnacentral:rRNA from 1 species